UACAGAGGUCUCAAGCGUUGUUCGGAAUUACUGGGCGUAAAGAGUGUGUAGGCGGUGCUCUAAGUCUGUUGUGAAAUCUCCCGGCUUAACCGGGAGGGUGCGGCGGAAACUGGAGUGCUUGAGGGUGGGAGAGGUAAGCGGAAUUCCUGGUGUAGCGGUGAAAUGCGUAGAUAUCAGGAGGAACACCUGUGGUGUAGACAGCUUACUGGACCACUUCUGACGCUGAGACACGAAAGCGUGGGUAGCAAACAGG
rnacentral:rRNA from 1 species